UCCAGCAAUGCCGCGUGAGUGAAGAAGGCCUUCGGGUUGUAAAGCUCUUUUGUCAGGGAAGAAAAGGGUACGGCUAAUAUCCGUGCCUCAUGACGGUACCUGAAGAAUAAGCACCGGCUAACUACGUGCCAGCAGCCGCGGUAAUACGUAGGGUGCAAGCGUUAAUCGGAAUUACUGGGCGUAAAGCGUGCGCAGGCGGUUUUGUAAGUCUGUUGUGAAAUCCCCGGGCUUAACCUGGGAAUGGCAAUGGAGACUGCAAGGCUAGAGUUUGGCAGAGGGGGGUAGAAUUCCACGUGUAGCAGUGAAAUGCGUAGAGAUGUGGAGGAACACCGAUGGCGAAGGCAGCCCCCUGGGUCAAGACUGACGCUCAUGCACGAAAGCGUGGGGAGCAAACAGGAUUAGAUACCCUGGUAGUCCACGCCCUAAACGAUGUCUACUAGUUGUUGGGUCUUAAUUGACUUAGUAACGCAGCUAACGCGUGAAGUAGACCGCCUGGGGAGUACGGUCGCAAGAUUAAAACUCAAAGGAAUUUGACGGA
rnacentral:rRNA from 1 species